AAUGAAUCUUCGAUCCUAGGUCACAGCAAGAACUGUUAGUAUUGGAUUGUUUUGGUCUUAAUUUUUUAAAAUUAAGACCAAAACAAUCCAAUACUAACAGUU